CUACGGGACGCACCAGUGGGGAAUAUUGGACAAUGGGGGAAACCCUGAUCCAGCAAUGCCGCGUGUGCGAAGAAGGCCUGCGGGUUGUAAAGCACUUUCGGUUGGGAGGACUGCUUCUAGCACUAAUAUUGUUGGAAGUUGACGUUACCUUCAGAAGAAGCACCGGGUAACUCCGUGCCAGCAGCCGCGGUAAUAGCGGAGGGUGCAAGCGUUAAUCGGAAUUACUGGGCGUAAAGCGCGCGUAGGCGGCUAGAUCAGUCGGGUGUGAAAGCCCCGGGCUUAACCUGGGAACUGCAUCCGAUACUGUCUAGCUUGAGUACAGGAGAGGAGAGUGGAAUUCCACAUGUAGCGGUGAAAUGCGUAGAUAUGUGGAGGAACACCAAUGGCGAAGGCAGCUCUCUGGCCUGAUACUGACGCUGAGGUGCGAAAGCGCGGGGAGCAAACAGGAUUAGAUACCCGUGUAGUC
rnacentral:rRNA from 1 species